rnacentral:rRNA from 1 species
GUCCACGCCCUAAACGAUGUCAACUAGUUGUCGGGGAAGCAAUUCCUUGGUAACGAAGCUAACGCGUGAAGUUGACCGCCUGGGGAGUACGGCCGCAAGGUUAAAACUCAAAGGAAUUGACGGGGACCCGCACAAGCGGUGGAUUAUGUGGAUUAAUUCGAUGCAACGCGAAAAACCUUACCUACCCUUGACAUGUACGGAACCUUGCAGAGAUGCAAGGGUGCCCGAAAGGGAACCGUAACACAGGUGCUGCAUGGCUGUCGU